UUAAGGUAACUAAUACUCACCAUUGCUAUUUAAAUUCCUUAGUUCAUACAGGUAUAUAUGGUGGGAUUUGAUUUCAAACCCAGGUCAGAAUCUGAAAUACUUUUUAUUCAGUAGACCCCAUGACUACCUUUAGGAAAUCGUAGUCCAAUAGAUCAAGAUAAGCAUAAAAAGUAACUUGACAAUUACACUGAAUAUGAAGCUUGGCCGAAUUUUACCAUACUGCCUGUUGGUGGCUUCAAAAAUAUUUUAAAUAAUAUCUUUGAAAUAUUAGUGCAUUUAUCUUCCAUAUAGUAAUCAAUAUCUUUCUUGGCUUUCUCUCAAGUGCUACAGGCACAUCUUCAAAUUUAGAGCCAGUCCUGACUGAUGAUAAAAGUAUAUAGCCUUUAUUACAACACCCAAUCAGUCUUGGAACAGUCAAACCACAUGUGGGAUCUAAUGGCCCACCAUGGCUACUACAUUCCUUCAUUUCUUCCCACUCCUUUCCCAUCAGACUUCCAUUAUGAGCUAAAGCUCAGUUAGGUAUGCCAUGGCAAGACCCACAGGUACACUUGGCUCUGGUUUCUGUAUGCUCUGAUUGCUAUCAUCUUGAUUUUUAAUCUGUGAGCUGCAUGUUGCAAUAUUGUGUAAUAGCAUAAAUGACAGUUUAUUUGAAUGAUUAUCUUGCUCUUUCUUGCCACCUCUCUUUCCAAAGGACUGGAUCUACUGGGUUAACCCUGGAAGAUCUCCUGGAAAGAUGCCUUCCUAAACCCUGAUCCAAGGAGGCCAGAUAAAAAAGAUGAAAAACUCAAGAGGCUUGACAUUGCCUGAAAAAGGUGCUGAAUACCCUUCGCCAUGGGAACCAUCCAGAAGACAGAAAUGUACACAGAUUUCCAGAACAGCCUUCCAAACCUUCAAUUGCAUUAAAGUUGAGUUUUAUAGGUUUUCUCACUCUGCAUAUGUAUAAACUGAGAAUAGAAACUAUUCCCUAUAAGGAGGCUUCUAUACAUAUAUCAAAGGAUUUUGAUGACAUUAUAAUAACCAAUAGAGUGGAGCUGGGGCAAUUUGUGAUGAUUCUGGAAUCUCAAGACAUUUACUUUCUGUUAUAAAAUAUUAAUGAAACAGCUGACAAGCCAACAAAAUUCUAAAGGAGCACAUCUCACAGGAGAGAAAUUUGUUGACAUUGACUUGGACUCCGAAGUGGGUUUUAUGAACUCACGGUUAUAGAUGUACCUAUUACCUUUGUGUUAAUUGUGUAUUCAAGGAAGAGAUGCAGCACUUUCAGAGAUAGACAUCAUCAUAACCUCUUUUAUUAUUCGAUGUAUUUCAAAGCUGUGGGGCAGGACAGAAUUUGGACUGGUGCUAUUUUUAUUUGCUUUUAGAUAGAAGUGACUUAUCUUGCAAAAUGAAUGUGGAUAGGCUUUUUUUGUUGUUCUGUGUAGACAUUUGUGGUUUAAAUUUUUUUAUUGCUGCAAGAAUUCCAAGGCAUGGUGUUUUUUAUUAGGAGGAAAAAAAUACCUGAUGAUGAUCAGAAACAUUUUCAUCCACUGGUGGAGUGCAGAGGUAUAAGUUGCUAUAGCCAUAAAGUUUAGGGCAAGACACUGACUCCUAACUGCUGGGAGCUGAAAACCACUGGGAUAAUAAUACAUAUAUAUACUAUACUUUCCUUCCGUUCUUCAUGGCACCCUUCUCCCGUAGCUCCAGGAGCCAGGAUGAUGAGCUUUAGUAUCACAGUAGCCUGCAAUUCUACCGCAUACUGGGAAAGAACGACAGACUUCCAGAGUAUUCAACACUUAUUUGGCUACUAAUCCAACAUAUGCUUGCCUAUCCCCUGGGUAUUUUUGUUUUGUUUUGUUUUGAUUCAUCCCAGCAAGGCAAUAAAAAUCUACCACUUUCACUAUAUAUAUAUAUAGUGGUGCUGGGUUUUACCUGAGUAAACUAUUUAUAUUUUCUCUCUUUAUAAACAAGAAUGUGCAUCAGCAAGCAGAGUUAGAAGACUAGAAAACACCCAGCAUACAGAGGCACAUGUAUUCAAAACAGUUUGUUUAUUUGAAUCCAAAUUGCUAAUCUAAGACUUAACUUCAACAUUGACCUCGCUAGUGCCAUCUUUUAAACAACCAAGUUAACUACAAACACAUAUUAAAUAAUUGUGUUUCAUAUGAUCUUCCACAAAGUUUCAAGAUAUUUUAAUGGAAAAUAGUCUUCAACAAAUGAUGCUAGAACAACUGGACAUCCAUGUGCAAAAAAAAAAAAAAAAUUUGAACCUAGCCAUAAACUACAUCUUUUGAA